rnacentral:rRNA from 1 species
UACGUAGGGUGCAAGCGUUGUCCGGAAUUAUUGGGCGUAAAGAGCUCGUAGGCGGCUUGUCGCGUCGGCUGUGAAAACCUGGGGCUUAACCCCGGGCCUGCAGCCGAUACGGGCAGACUAGAGUACGGCAGGGGAGACUGGAAUUCCUGGUGUAGCGGUGAAAUGCGCAGAUAUCAGGAGGAACACCGGUGGCGAAGGCGGGGCUCUGGGCCGAAACUGACGCUGAGGAGCGAAAGCGUGGGGAGCAAACAGG